rnacentral:hammerhead_ribozyme from 1 species
AGCCAAUUGACGAGUCCCAAAUAGGACGAAAUGCGCGUUAUCCUGGACUGGAU